rnacentral:lncRNA from 1 species
CGCAGCUUCAUACGACCGCAGAGUUCGAACCCUGAACAGUUGGGGCAAGUAUGGACACAACAUUCAAGCUUGAUACAGCUCUGAAUUUGGAAUGUGAUUAAAUAGUUGACACAACAUAGGUUUCUGACACAGAAUGAAUGUGGUCUAAGAACUUAAACUUAAAAACUUAAAAAUUUUAAAUUGGAUAUUUACCUAUUAUGGUCCAAUAUCCAAAAUCUAAAUACAUGGUUAGAUUUAGCAUAUCAAAGAACCCCAAGAAUUCAAAUUUUGAUGAAAUCAAAUAAGGUUCAAUUUUGGACCCUUUAGACCUCAAU